AAAGACGAUUCCAGUAGCCCAUAUUGGGAACAUUCGGAUUAGAAUCUUGAAUUCCUCGACCUGAGUUACUGUGCAAAGCCUCCAGGGGUUGGAGAAGUCCCCGCUUUUCAACUCAGCAUCAGAGAUGACAGCCGCUUUAUCAAGGCAUCUCAGUUCAUCACUGUGUUCCAGCUUGCGACUUCCUUCAAUGGCAGAACUUUUGU
rnacentral:misc_RNA from 1 species